rnacentral:rRNA from 1 species
GAUGAACGCUGGCGGCGUGCCUAAUACAUGCAAGUCGAGCGAACGGACGAGAAGCUUGCUUCUCUGAUGUUAGCGGCGGACGGGUGAGUAACACGUGGAUAACCUACCUAUAAGACUGGGAUAACUUCGGGAAACCGGAGCUAAUACCGGAUGAUAUUUUGAACCGCAUGGUUCAAAAGUGAAAGACGGUCUUGCUGUCACUUAUAGAUGGAUCCGCGCUGCAUUAGCUAGUUGGUAAGGUAACGGCUUACCAAGGCAACGAUGCAUAGCCGACCUGAGAGGGGGAUCGGCCACACUGGAACAGAGACAGGGUCCAGACCCCUCCGGGAGGCAGCAGGAGGAAUUCUUCCGCAAGGGGCGAAAGCCUAACGGAGCAACGCCGCGGGAGUAAUAAAGGUCUUCGGAUCUUAAAACUUUUUUAUGAGGGAAAAAAAUUUGUGUAAGUAACUGUGCACAUCUGGACGGUCCCUAAUCAGAAAGCCACGGCAAACAACGGC